rnacentral:lncRNA from 1 species
AUGAGAGACAGCAGUUGGCAAGACAGUGAGAGACAGCAAGAGAUGGCAAGUGACAGUUAUUGUUAAGAUGACAAAUGGAGAGAUGGCAAGAAAUAGAGAAGCAGUCAGUGAUGGAGGCUGCAAGAGUUGUAACACUAACCAAAGGCUCUUUUUAGAAUCAUCGUUUUCCCUGGCAGGUGGUACAGCCAAGCAGACAGGCAAGUAAGUGGCCAUACUGCUACUGCCUCAUGUAGGAUCCGGCAGGCUGGUGGGUUAUCAGUCCUCACGUGGGACCCUCCCACCAUGGCAGCUGAGCACAUCCAAGCUGGGGGAUCCUGAAGAGACCUUCACCUGGGUGCCACGUGGAAGAUUGGCCAGCACCAUUUUGACUCCUGUGGAUGGCUAAAGUGACCCAGCAGGCUUCCUGAGCCUUAGGCAUUACCUGUCAUCUUCACUCUUGGAGACCUCAAUCCUCAGUUCCAGGUAAAGACAAUCCUUGCACAAGGCUUCCAACUCGACCCGCCUACUGACCUGGAGAAUGAAAGUGUCCUGCCUCGGGGCCCCUCAGAUCAGCACCCAAACUGCACCUGGUCACCUGUCUACAUUCAGAUUUAGAUGAAAGCCACACCAUGGAGGCAGCCAGAGGCCCAUGGGAGAUGUCUGGAUUCGCAGAGG